GGCCUGGCGGAGGAUCCCUGCAUCACGAAUCCCUGGGUCAUUGGAUGGGGUUCCUAGCACGACAGUUAGGGUGUUUGGCCAUCCCAUCACCAGAGUAGGUCAGUUCGGGCUGUCUCUCGACCAUUGCCAACAGUCUAUUGUGGGGGUAUCUUUGUGGAU